rnacentral:tRNA from 1 species
GCAAUAGUAGCUUAAUUUUUUUAAAGCGGUGGUCUUGUAAGCCAAAGAUAAAUAUUAUUUUUAUUGCU